rnacentral:rRNA from 1 species
AGCGAACGCUGGCGGCAGGCUUAACACAUGCAAGUCGAGCGGGCGUAGCAAUACGUCAGCGGCAGACGGGUGAGUAACGCGUGGGAACGUACCUUUGGUUCGGAACAACUGAGGGAAACUUCAGCUAAUACCGGAUAAGCCCUUACGGGGAAAGAUUUAUCGCCGAAAGAUCGGCCCGCGUCUGAUUAGCUAGUUGGUGAGGUAACGGCUCACCAAGGCGACGAUCAGUAGCUGGUCUGAGAGGAUGAUCAGCCACAUUGGGACUGAGACACGGCCCAAACUCCUACGGGAGGCAGCAGUGGGGAAUAUUGGACAAUGGGCGAAAGCCUGAUCCAGCCAUGCCGCGUGAGUGAUGAAGGCCCUAGGGUUGUAAAGCUCUUUACCCGGGAUGAUAAUGACAGUACCGGGAGAAUAAGCUCCGGCUAACUCCGUGCCAGCAGCCGCGGUAAU